rnacentral:tRNA from 468 species
UCCGCGAUAGCUCAGUUGGUAGAGCAAAUGACUGUUAAUCAUUGGGUCCCUGGUUCGAGUCCAGGUCGUGGAGCCA